UACAGGAAGCCAGCAGACGGUGGAGGCAGAAAUGCAAAACAAUGGAGAUCAAUCGUCGUGAGACAUCUUCGUACUUUUUACCGAAACAGGAAUUUAAAAGAUCUUGGUUGGAAGAAAGUGAGUGAGGAGGAUCGAACAAUCUGCCGACUGGUUCUUUUGAUGGUGGUGAGCCUGUGUCCCCUAUGAACCUGCUGCUGCUUCUGCUUCCCAUGCCGACCCAUCAACAUCUGCAGCUGUCCCCGCAGCGCCACCAAGAUGAAGAGCUCAGAGAAGGCCUAGAUAGCAGCCAUCAGUGGUGAAGUGGCAGCCUCCUAGAAGCACUCCGGAGUCCGGACCAGUCCUGUAGAUCCAGCACCGCCUCCACGCUCAGAGGAUGAGCUCUUCCUCUUGAGUCUGGUCCCUUACCU